AGCACCGGCAGCUUCCUGAUCCGGAACUGCCAGUGGUCGCUGGAGCUGCUCGACGCCUGGGCCGUGAUGGGGUCCAGAGGCCGCGCCCGCAACGACGCCGGCAAGCUGCUGACGGCGACCCUCCAUGGACGGCCGGCGUUCGAGGCCGACGACCAGUCGGCGCUCAUCCACCUGCUGAUCACCGAGAAGGAGCGGUGGAUGGAGAAGGUGUACCUCGAGAACGAGUACUACCUGCACGGCCACUGGUCGGGGCUCGUCGAUCGGUACGAGCAGGCGAUGGAGAAGCACCACCCGGGUUACGGCGACGACCGGUGGCCGUUCGUCACGCACUUCGUCGGAUGCAAGCCUUGCGGCGGCGGCGUCGGCAGGUCAAUCAGGAGCGGCGGCAAUUCCAGUGACGAGUACCCGCUGGACCGGUGCGUCAGGGGAAUGGAACGCGCCUUCAACUUCGCCGAUAACCAGGUUCUCCGGCUGUACGGCUUCCGGCACGAGUCGCUGGCGAGCGCCGAGGUCAGGCGGGUGACGAACCGGUCGGCGAACCCGCUGGAGGCUAAGGAGGAGGCUAUCUCUUUCUUGAAGAAAUCCAAGGACCCGGAUGUCAAGAGCCAUGAUGUACGCAGAAAUCGAAAGCGCAAAGGAAAGAGAGACUCUGUUCUUGAAAGAAUUCUGAAGAGGCUGGGAUGGACGCCUGGGAUUUGAUAAUUUUUUUAAUGUUCUUGUAUUUCAGUUUGCAGUAGCUAGAGCUAGCGCACACAGCAACAAGAACAUACAGCAAGUGAUCUGCAGUUACUUGUUUGUUGUUUUAGUUCUGGGUUGAGUCAGGACUCAGGACAAAUGAAUUGGCGGAAGAGGUUCAAACAUUGCUACGUUCAGAGUCUUCAGUAAAUAGUACUAAUUGAAGUCACGCUGACUCUGAAAUCUCUGUCUAAAGUACUAAUUGAUCAGAUUUCCCAGCUUUGACAUAGCAUAGAUCUGCUGAUGAAAAUGAUAGCACUACCAAUUCUUCAGAUAAAAUAUUUGCGCAUUUGUUGUCCAAAGAGAACUGAAACGAAGCCACUCUGACGAGCAUUAGUGCUACAACUCAAAAUACUGUGUUUGAACCAUACGUUUCUUGCCUGUUUCAUUUUGACCUGAAUCCUAAACAAAACAACUAGUACCAGCGAAAUCUGAAGAAUUGUUGUGUAUUAGUGGCACAAUUCACAGUCGCAUUGUUUGAACCAUGCAUUUCUUGCCUAUUUCGUAUUGCUCUGAAUCCAACUAAAAACAUCGAACACACUUACUGCUUGCACUAGCUACUGCAAAACUGAAAGCCAAGAACAAACAAAGAACUCAGAAAAACUUGUAACUUUCAAGAACAUAGUCUCCCUCUCUCUCCAACGAGGCCUACUAGACGCGCUGGAACUUGGCGUCCAUCUUGAGCGCGGCCUCCUUGGCCUCGAGCGGGUUGGCCCUCGGGUCGGUGACCCUCCUGACCUUGGCGCUCACCAGCGACCGGUGCUGGAAGCCGUAGAGCCUGAGCACCUGGUUGUCGGCGAAGUUGAAGGCGCGCUCCAUCCCCCUCAGGCACCGCUCCAGCGGGUAGUCCUCGUACCUCCCGCAGGUCUUGCACCCGACGAAGUGCGUGAUGAACGGCCAGCGGUCGUCGCCGAGCCCCGGGUGGUGCUCCUCCAUCAUCUGCUCGUACCUGUCCACCAGCCCCGUCCAGAAGCCAUGGAGGUAGAACUCCGUCUCGAUUUGCACCUUCUCCAUCCACUUGUCCUUCUGGAUGAGCAGCAGGUGGAUCAGCACCGACUGGUCGUCGGCCUCGAACGGUGGCCGGCCGGACAGGCUCGCCGUCAGCAGCUUCCCGGCCUCGAUGCGGGACGGGCCUCUUGGGCCCAUGGGCACCCACGCGUCAAGAAGGUCCAGCGACCACUGGCAGUUGCGGAGCAGGAAGAUGCCGGCGUUGAGGGAGAUCCAGGAGCGCUUCUCGAAGAGGAGGUCCGGGUAGCCGUGGACGACGAGGUUGCGGCCCUCGUAGCGGGAGAACGGGAGCUCGAAGGCCAUGUCGGUGAAGAUGGCGUCGCUGUCCAUCCACCAGAUCCACUCCACCUCCGGGUGCGCCAGCAUGAGGCGGCGCACCAGCGGGAUCUUGGACCAGUACCCCGUCAGCUCCGGGUCCAGGUGCGCCAUGUUGUGCACGAUGUCCAUGCCGUGGAGCCGGCAGUAGUCGAUCUUGUUCUUGAUCGCCUUGAGGAGGUAGUGGUCGCCGGCGGGGUUGUCGCAGGGCCCCGGCGGCGAGCCGGUGACGAGCAGGACCUUCGGGUUGCCGCGCGCGUCGCGGGAAGGGAACUCCGGGUGCCGGGACAGCCACUCCUGGCGCUGGGAGUCCCAGUCGCUCACCUUGGGGCCCAGGCUGUACUCCUUCACCUUGAUCAGCGUCGCCGACGGCGAGAACGAGAAGUUGCCGAAGCCGCCGGCCGUCACGUUACUGGGGGACGACGAGGAGGAGGAGCCGCCGUCCCCGACGAAGACUACGACCUCGUCGGGCUCGGAGUCGGAGCGGAUCUCGGCGAGGAUGCGCUCGAUGUCCUCGACGACCUUGGCGUCGGCAGCGGCGCCGUCGGGGUCGCCGCUGUUGACGAGGAGGUUGAAGCCGGCGGUGCCGCGGAGGACAAGCACGGUGAUGAAGCCGCAGAGGAGCGUGAUCUUGAUGUUGUUCAUGGUCCGCUGCCGCUGCUUCUUGAUGCUGCUCGCACGCAUCCGCCCACCGCCGCCGGCCACCCCCAUGCUGCUACCUCGCGGAUGGAUCUCUCGAUCGUCGUUGGAAGCUGUGAGAGCUAGUGAUUGAUGGGGCUGUCGGGUGGAGUUAGAUGUAUAGGGAGGAGGGACAGGGUUUUGGACGAGCAGGAGCAGGCAGGAACGUUCGGUUCCAGGAGGUGGCACGUUUGUGUGCAGUGGAAGUCAGCGGGGGCGCGGGAACUACGAGGGAGGAGGUGAAUACGAAAUUGCUCGGAUUUUGCAGAGAGGUACGGCAGGCGAGAGCACGAUUCCCGUUCUGCAUUACUAUAUGCUCACCGUCCCGUAGGGAGAUGCCAGAAUGUGACUAUCGUGAGGUCCUGCAUGCUGUGCUCUUUGUUGACUAUAAUUGGAGAGUGUGACAGUGUGUGCUUCUUCAACCGAGGGCUGUGCAUGUAGCGAUAUUAUUUACUAUAGGGCUUCCUUUAAGAUUUUAGUAGUAACGCAAAUCUACCCUGGCUGUAAGAUACUAGAUAUAUAGGAGAUUAAUUGUUCUAAGGGGUAAAAAAGGGAGAUUCUUCACCAAAGCCCUAUUUCUGCAAAAAUAUAAUUCACUCAACUUUGCACACUUGCUGAAUUCUGCAGUAUAGGAAGCAAGAACAAACCAAGAGUCGGAUCUCUGCAUCACAGAACAAUAGUGUCAAUGCAAAAUUACUGUAAGCAAUAGUUGCAGGGGAUGUCUCACAAACCCUCUUGUUAUUAUUAUGUGGUUUUUGAGCCCUGUUUUCCUUAAAAACUAUGGCAAAGAUCUUGCCAUCCUUUCGGAAUAAAAGAAUAAUUACAGUUGGCGUAGACUUCAUGCUCUAGGCCGGUGUCGUUGAUGCUCCGGGUGACAGGUCUACCAUUUCCAUUGCUUGCAUUCUGAUCUCAGCUGGAUAAUCAUUCACACACGCAAUCCUUGGACCAGCCCCAGUGCUCCAUUUCAUGGACAACUUGUGCCCAAGCUGGUAAGAUUUAGACUCGCUCUUGGAUUUUAUCCUCUCAAGAAUUGCCUUCUGCGGGACAUCAAUGGCAGCUUUUGGGCUACGCAAACCACCUGAUAAGGUUCUUUGGUAUGUUAGCUUGGCUUGUUCUUCAGGAGCAUCCUUGCCUUCAUCACCUUCCAUUGUGUUUGGAGAGAGAACCACUUGUGGGGUAUUGGUAGAAACAACAAUGUUCUGUGUAUCGUUAGGCGUUGGAUCAUCGCAGCAGUCAUCUUUGGUGAAUGGACGUGCCUGAAUGGUCAAAACUAGCUCCUUAUGAGAAAACCCAUCUAUGACAACAUAUGUAAAUCUGAUAUUGUGAUGACUAUAUUGGUCUAGCUACCUUGAUUUCUUUGAGAUCAACCCCACUCUCUUCAAGGAAUUUCAUGAAAUUGACGAGGUUCUCCAUGCUUGGCUUGUAAUGACCACUGUAGGUCACGAUGGACUUAUCCAAAAAUAAUAAAAAAACAGAAAAAACAUGAGAGCAAGACAAAUCAAAGUAUGGAAUAAUACUAUCUUUUGCUCUAGGCAGAAAUACAAGGGGUCGACAAAAUCCAUGGUCGUCACAAUUAACUUCCAUGGUGGUUGUUUCAAGAUAAGUAACUAAUUUGAUGGGUAGGACUAUAGUAGAUACAAAAGUAUACAUUUUGCUAUGCUUACUCCAAAAGUCACAAACAUAUUUAUAAAUAAGAUCAAACUUUGGAUAUGUAUGUAACAUUUAUCCUUGAAAACAGAUGUAUCUCUGAAUUCUUGUUUUUAAAUUUGUAUAAUAGUGAAUUAAGGGAUCAUCAACUGUUGGACAAAAACGUAUAUAUUCGGCUUGGUCAUAAAUUCAGAAUUAAUGAACAACAUAAGCAAGAAUACUAAGGAUUUUUUUACAAAUAAAAACAAAGUGUUUUUUACCAAGAAAGUAAAAAAAAACACCACAUCAAACAGUGAUGUCACAGUGGGGCAUACAACAAUACCUUGAUCACUCCAUUUUCUGCUGUAAGUUUUCCAGCAGCUAUGAUAGCACCUCCUGCUAAAAAACUAGAGUGCUGAAAUACACCUUUCUCCUUCUGGAUGAAUAAAUCAGGUUAUAGAAAUAUAUAUUGGCCUAAUCGUAAGCUAAAAGAAUUGCUAUAAUAUUGUUUCUAGAGCAUUGCAAGUAUGGAAGUCGUUGAAAAAGUAAACAAGGUACCUUGCCAGAAUAAAGUUUUCUUGCUGUGCUCAUUACAAAAAUCCACUUAGCUUCUUCAGGACCUUGGCUUGUAUCAAGUGGUUCUCCAGAUUGCUUAUGGAUAACCUUUCCCUCACUAAUGAUGUAUUCAUAGAGCUCACGCUCUCGCUGUAGAACAUUGGGAACUUAUUAGAACUUACUUCAUACAUAGUAGCAGUAGCAGUAUGUUUAGUAGAAACCAAAUGAAUAGCUUGUCUAACAAAGAAUUCCUUUUUUCCAAUUUAGCAGUGUGCCGUGUUUAAAGUCAAAUGCAUUUUUGCAUAGUCAUAACUAAUGAGAAAAAACAAAUAAGUAGCAUGAACAAAAGUAGGUCAGGUCAUGGCAGAUGAUAUUCACGUUUCAUUUAAAACAAUAAUUGAUAUUUGAGGCUAUGUAAAAAUACAGCAUAUCAAUAAUUUUAUUAUUAAUAAAAAUAUUACAAAAAUUUGCAACACAUAUUUGAACAGGGAAAAAAUAUCUUUGAAAAGGUGAACUUAUCUUUACAUAACAACAAUAGUGGCAUUUAAUAAAAAAAAGCAUCAUAUAACUAAAUUGAGGUUUUAUGCGUAAAGUGUCAAGCCCUUGUACAAACUCUUCUCGCAAUAUUUUGAUACCGAUAUAUGGCAUGAUUUAUGGAUAAAGAUAGCCUGAACAUAUAUUUCUUACAGGACCGAGGUAUUUUAUGCAUUGCUUCUUAAGCAUAGUUCUUGGACACUCAGGGAGAUCAAUAUCUUUUCCAUUCCCAACAUCAAGCCUGCAAAUGGAAGCGGACUUGCUAAAAUUGCCAUGCAAUCGAACUAACAUCUUAAAUUGCUCAAAAGUUUUUCAAUAUGCACAUAUAUAUUAUCAUAUGUUAUGCCAACUGCAUCAACUCAUUCUAUUACGAAAAUAUGCAAAUGCAGUAUGUUCUCACCAAUAGAAGAAGGGCUGGCUGGCUUGGCUUUGGCACCAAAAAUCAUAGUAGAAGUGCAGGUUGUGCCCAGACCGAUGUUGUGGAUCGAUCUACAAAGCAACCAGUGGAUAUAUUAUAUAUUGUUAUAGCGCUACCGUUGAGAGUGUUGAAUAUGCUGAAAGUGGCAUCUUUUAACCCAAAUGCAGUUACAAUGAAAAAUCCUAAGAGUAAUUAAUAUUGAAUUAAAAGUAGUGGUACUGGAUUGGUACUAGUUAUACUCACAGCCUCAAGCCAGUGCUGUGAAGCCAACUUGAGAGCCUUGCUAUCUCUAGAGAGACCUUGACCAACCUGGGUCAAUCACAUAAAUAUAUGACAAAGAGAGCGAUGUCGGAGAAGUCAAAACAAAAUGAGAUUUCCCAGCAUAAUGAACAUUUGUGAAGUAUAGCGAUUGAAACCUUAGAUGCUUUGAGGCUAACUCGAUUCCAAUGUGAUGCUCCACUCUUAGGCUUGGGUUCAACGAAGGAGAUAGUGCUAUGAUUGAGCCGUGCAAAGUUCAGCGCUUGCCACCUUCAUUCAUCCAAACUCAAACCCUAUUAUUGUUUUAUCAAAACUUAUUUGGACACGCAUCAAGGAGAAUCAAUUUAGUUUUUCUUUGGGACCUUGCAUUCUCCAUGAACUCCAAAUAAUACAUAGUAUCAAGAACCAAAACAAGAUAAUUGGUAGGGAAAAGUUACAGGAAAAAAUAUCUUCCAAAGUAGCAAAUUAAAAUGGCCUACAUAAUUAAUCACUUAGAGCACCAAUGUACUAAAACAUGUAAAAUUUUUAAACCAACUUAAGUUUAUAAUUGGAUUCAAGAAGACAAAGCUAUACUAUAUUCUAACCAAGGCUAGCUAAUUAUAAAAAUGAUGACCACAUGGAUUUUGGUUACCCUGGGAACCUUGCAAUGAUGUUGUAAAAAUAUGGAUACAUCAGCUAGCAGGUAUCAAAGGAUCCAUAGUUGGGAUUAUAAAUCCCAAGUCUAGGCUAUAGAUUCUCUUUUUGUUGUCAACCACAUAAAACUCAAACAUGUUAAAUAUCUUUGCAUCAUCAUGUUCAAUUAGGUCAUGUCCGAACAUGCAAAGUAUUUGUUAAAAUUGUAGUGAAUUUUUAAAUAAAUUGUCCUUUUUAUCAUAUUUUUGCUAUACCUUAAUAGAGAUGUUUUGCUGCUUUUUGAAAUUUACUCCCUCCGUUUUGUUUGUUCUAAGUCAAAUUACUCUAAGUUUGAUCAUCUAACACAUUAAAUAAGUAAAUUAUGAAAAUAUAUUUCGUAAUGAAUCUAAUUAUGCUCAUUUGAUACAUUAAAUAUUAUUGCUCUUUUCUACAAUUUGGUAAGUUUGAUCAUCUAACACAUUAAAUAAGUAAAUUAUGAAAAUAUAUUUUGUAAUGAAUCUAAUUAUGCUCCUUCGACUACAAUUUGGUCAAAUUAGCAUUAGUUUGACUUAUUAGAACAAACCAAAAUACCUUGCAAUUCAGAAUGGAGGGAGUAUAUAUUUUGUUAAAAUUACAAUAUUUUUUUAAUUCUAGGUUACUGCUAUGCUGUUGAAUAUGUUUACUCAAGCUUAUAAAAGGUGAGGGAAUUAGAGCUGGUGAAUUAGUGCUGCUAAUUGAAAUUUUGCACUGUGUGUGUAUAUAUAUAUAUAUAUAUAUAUAUAUAUAUAUAUGUAUGUAUGUAUGUAUGUAUGUAUGUAUGUAUUUUACAAUAAGAUUCAAUCGAACAAACCUGGAGAAAUUCGCUUCAAAAAAACAAACCUGGAGAAAUCUCACCCAGGGAAACUAAGAAAGAGCAGAGGAGAGGAAUCGUCUAUAAAAAAAGAAGAGGUAAAACAGAGGAAGAGAGAAAGGAAAGGGCAAAAGUGGUGUGGGGUCUCGUUACGGCGGAAUCGGCGAGCUUCCGCCUGGUCCGGUAGCCACGGUACGCCUUCUGCAGCUUGGUCGCCGCCGCGUCAUCCAUGCUGCCGCCGUUUCCCGCAACCGGGCACCUCGGAGAAUCCGCAGCGCCGAAGCCGGCCGGAGGGAAAGCCGCCUCCGUCUCCAGCUUCUGAUUUCUCUGAAGACCGAGCAAGCAGUUUUAGCUUGGUCGCGAGGCAGAGGAUGACUGCAGCUAGCCUUCACGAGUAGGCGCAGGAAAGCAUCCCAUUCCCGUUCGCCUUUAGACUAAGACUACUAUAAUCCUGGUAACAAGAAGUAUACCACGCAUUCUGCGCAUGCAAUUGUUAAUUCUCUUUUGAAGGAGCCCUCACCAGAAUUAACAAUAAUGGCAUAUGGUUCGUUAUCAAAAGAAGAAGAUGACCCCGACCGAGACCAGUCGUAGGCUGUGUAGGUAUUUCAGAGCUGUCAUUCUUGCGCAUCAUCGUCUCCACGAGAGAGGAGCACUAGUGAUGGUCUGGUGUCAUGUUCCCGGAACGGUUCCUGCGCCGUAGCAGACGGGCGCCUCUCGUGCACGUCUUCCCAGCCGGGCGUACGUAGCAUGUGCCAUGAUGUGUUGAUGGUGGCGAAUUGGCGAUCUGUCCAUGUUGUUGGUCGCCGGCAGGUGAACCCGCUGCACGGGUGAUUCAUUGGGUUGCAUGAUCAGUGCUAUCCUUGUGGUAAGAUAUUAGACAUAGGAGAUUCAUUGCUUCAUCAAGAUUAAAAAAAGGAUAUUCCUUCACAAAAGCGCUAUUUGUGCAACAAUGUAAGUCAGACAAGAAACUGCUGAAUUCUAGCUAGGAAUUAAGCAAGAACAAACCAAGAGUCCGACCUUUUCACUUUUGCAAUACAGAAAUAUCAACGCAAAGCUACAGUAAAAACUCAUCCCUCGUGGAGGACUUGCUCCAAGGUAUUGCAGUAAAAAGAAUUUUUUCGCAAGCUGCAGGAUCGAAAAAAGACCAAAGGCCGGAUACCCAUGACUUGCUCUGAAACUAGCCACAUGCAAGGGGCCUUUUUUGUGAGAUUCAGUGUCACACCCCAAAAUUUUUAUUUUGGGCUGUGAAUAAACAAAAUCAAUAAAAUCAGUUUUUUUUCUUAUUUAUAAAAUAUUCCAACAAUUAGUUAAUAGCACAACACUUAAUUAUAUGAAAUAAAUAGUUUCUAAAUUAAACAAAAUAGUCAAUAUAGGUUAUAUAUUUUUGUUUGGCUCACGGGUCAUGCCAAAUAGUUUGCAUCUGGGGUUUCUUGUUUGGAAAGUGUAUUUCAAAAUUCGAUAGAAGUUCAUUUCAACAUAAUUUGAGUUAGAUUAAAUCCUAAACACCAUUUGGACCGGCUCACUCUUUGUUUCUUCCUUCCUCUUCUUUUCUUUUUGCUUUUCGGAACUGAAACCGAACCAUUCAUUCUCUCCAACAGGACCGAGCUCAGAUUCAGCACAAACCGCCAGCCCGACAAGCUCCUUCUUCUCUCUUGCUCGGCACGGCAACAACCUGCAUGGAACCACUGCCCUCGCCGCAAACAGCAAGCAUCAGGUGGAUCCCGAACAUCUCUAGUGGUAUCAUCUAGGUUUCUGAACUCUCAAAAUGCAUUAUUGGAUUCUGAACUUAUCUUAGGGCGAUGUCAUCAUCUAGGUUCCCAAACUCUCAAAAUGUAUUUGAAGUCCCUGAACUUUUCUCAGGGUGUUAUCCAAGUCCCCAAUAAAGUCUCAAACUGCAUUUUCGGUCCGAAAUCUUGUCAGGUGCUAAGCAUGAGAGGAUGGUGGAGCAGGAGGCUAGUGACGAUGGUGUAGGAGUUGGAGGAUGACUAGGGGCUAAGAUCUGGCUGGUGCAUAGGCUCAGGCAUGGGUCUUGCAACCAGAAGGUGAGGUUUGUUGCAGUGUCGCCGAUGCUUGAUUGCUGGAGCUAGGACACAGUAGCCUGGGCAGGAGAGAAAACAUCACGGUGGCAGGAAGGGGCGAGAUCUAUCAUGAGAACUAGGAGUCCUAAUCUUUCCCUCCGUUUGGUUUAGUAAUGACGUUAUGAGUUUAAGGAUCUAAAAAGGUAUUUAGAGAGUUUAACGGCUCCGGAUGACAUUUCGGGACAAAUGUGGAAUCUAGAAAUUUAUUUUAAGAAUUUAGAUAUCUAGAUGGUACCUUGGGAUAAGUUUAGCACUUAAAAUAUAUUUUGAGUGUUUAGAGACCUAAAUAACACAAUAACAGUAAGACAGGUUCAGGAACCACCCAUGCAUUUUGCCAACCUCACUAAUAGCUCAUAUGUUAGAGUCUUAAUUAGACCACCCUUACAGAAAUUCUCGGACUUCGCGCAACUACUUUACGUAGGAGCAGCUCUAAGUAUAAUAUAGUAAAACCAUAAAUGACGAUACAUAGGAACAACAAAAUGAAAUUAGUCACAAGCUUAGUGAUAACUUUAUCCUGCACGCACUGAGUGAAUCAUGGCAGAAAAAAGUCAUUAGAGAGAUGCUCCCUCUGCCUGAAAUCUAAGAUAUUGUGGUUAGCAUAAGUUUGAUCAAAUUUAUAGAAAAAAAGAUCUCAUCCUAGGCAUACCGACGUAUAACAGCGCCCCAUUCAUGCACGCCACCAGCAUACAUCACAUCACAUUUUAUUGGUUAGUUAUACGCCGGUGUGCCUGCUCGAUGAGAUCCUUUUUUCUAUAAAUUUGGUCAAACGUAGGCUAACCAAAGUCUACAGCACGUACAACUGCCACAAAGUCUACAGCGUUCCACGUGCUCCAUCGACCGAUCGAUGAUUCAAAGUAUCUUAGUAUCACGCAUGGCGGUUUGAUGCAUGCGAUACAUGUACAGCGUACUAGUGCUAUUCUGUCAAGAGUUAGGCGCUAGGUCCAUGACUCCAGCGGCCAAUCCAGUCUCCAGGCGAUCACGGCCCCAUGCCCAGCCCAGGCCAGCCUUGCACUAGGUUUUGUUGCAAGUUGCAAGUAGUCUCCAGGUCCACAAACUGGAAAUGCUAGCAGGUAGUCGUAAGCAUGAAACACUAGCGUGCAGGGUAUAGCCAGGAACUCAUUUUUUUUUUCAUUGUUAGGGGAACCAGCAAUAGUAUUUUUUUUGAAUUUGGUUCAAUUCAAAAAAUUUCAGUGGAAAAUCGGAAACCAUAGGGAAUCCAAGCCCCUGCCCCCCUCCCUCCACCACUGAAAACUUGUGCAUCGUCGUCGUUUUAAUUUGGAGCCGAUGGAGAGAUCAGAUAUCAAGGAGGACACGCUCCAUGGGUGGAAACUUUGGCUUCAUCGGUGUACGAUAACCCCGGAGAGACACUUGCAACCUGACUGGCUUGCGUGCACACGCUGCUAGGCGGCUACGCUAGGCCAAUGCAGACACUAGCUUCUGCCGAGCGAUCACCCUGCAUGCCCGCUGGCCUAUAAAUACCAGGUAUCGGCAAACUUGAAGCAGGCACACAAACACACACGGUUGGGAUUUGGGAACACAGCUAGGUAGCGAUGGCAUCCAACAAGUCCUCCAUAGCUUCCCCUGCUCUCAUGUUCCUAGCCGUGGCAGCACUCAUAUUGGCCACUUCUGUGCGGGCCCAGACACCCGCUCCUACGCCGGCACCGACUCCAGCUCCAGCGCCGGUACCGGCCCCUACACCUACGCCUACUCCAGCACCAACCCCGACUCCGACGCCUGCACCGACGCCAGCACCCACUCCAGCUCCUACGCCGGCACCGACUCCAGCUCCAGCGCCGGUACCGGCCCCUACACCUACGCCUACUCCAGCACCAACCCCGGCUCCGACGCCUGCACCGACUCCAGCACCAACUCCAGCUCCGACGCCAGCUCCGACGCCAGCACCCACUCCAGCUCCGACGCCAGCACCUGUGCCCACGCCUGCCCCGGCACCAUCCCAAGGUCCUUGUCCUUCUGGCUUCCCUAACCUCGCCGCGCUUGUAUUAGCGAAGCCGGUGUACCUUAGACGCGGUAUGGUCCUGACUCUCUUCCCUAAGCCGGUCCCCCAAGGCACCAGCACCAAAGUAU
rnacentral:lncRNA from 1 species